AUGGCCAACUUCAAGGAUCAGGUGUCCGAUAAGAAGGUACGCAUAGCUGCUAAAUUCAUCACUCAUGCACCCCCAGGGGAAUUUAAUGAAGUAUUCAGUGAUGCUUGGCUACUACUAAAUAAUGACAAUCUCCUCAGGGAAGGGGCAGCACAUGCAUUUGCCCAGUAUAACAUGGACCAGUUCACACUUCAUGGACAGUUCACAAGGUGAAGAUAGAAGGAUAUGAAGAUCAGGUCUUAAUUACAGAACACAGUGACCUGGGUAAUAGCAGAUUUUUAGAGCCAAGAAACAAAAUUUCCUUUAAGUUUGAUCACUUACAGAAAGAAGCAAGGGACCCCCAGCCAGAAGAAGUAGAUGGAGGUCUGAAGUCUUGGAGAGAAUCCUGUGAUAGUGCUUUAAGAACCUAUGUGAAAGAUCAUUAUUCCAAUGGCUUCUGUACUGUUUAUGCUAAAACUAUAGAUGGGCAGAUAAAAUAAACUACAGAUUAUUAUUGCAUGUAUUGAAAGCCACCAGUUUCAACCUAAAAACUUCUGGAGUGGUCGUUGGGAGAUUAGAGUGGAAGUUCACUGUCAUACCACCUACAGCCCAGGUGGUUGGAGUGCUUAAGACUCAGGUUCACUAUUAUGAAGAUGGCAAUGUUCAGUUGGUUAGUCAUAAAGAUGUGCAGGAUUCAAUAACUGUUUCAAGUGAAGUUCAAACUGCCAAGGAGUUUAUUAAAAUCAUAGAGAAUGUAGAAAAUGAGUAUCAGACAGCAAUUAGUGAAAACUAUCAAACAAUGUCAGAUACCACAUUCAAGGCUUUGCGCCGGCAGCUUCCAGUUACCCGCACCAAAAUCGACUGGAACAAGAUACUCAGUUACAAGAUUGGCAAAGAAAUGCAGAAUGCUUAAAGGCUGAAUGUAGGAUUCUUCAGUAUGUGGAAAGAAAAAGGAUUCAACAUGUGGUCAUAUGAUAAAUAAGUGAUUUAUAAACAAGAGUGAUAUUUUGCUAGGGCUUUCAAAGUCAUCAGGUUUUCUAGCCUCAUUGGAAUACUGUUGAACUUGUAGCAUUGUCCUGAUUCUUCUGUGUUCUCUGCUUUGUAAUUUUUUGUUAUCACUAGACCUACUUGUAAAUUUUUUUGUUGUUGUUAAUUUUGCUACAUUUAAUGUUAGAGAAAGAGGUUUAUCCUGGAGUCAUUUUAUCAUUUAGAAAAUAUUCCUAGCCAUGAAGCCUUGUUACUGAUUUGGACAAGGUAAUAAUGUUUAGUACUUUUCUACCCCUGUCAUUUAAAGACCUUCAGUGGUUUUUACUUACCCACCCACAGCUAGAGAGGCUGUGCUAUACAAGCUAUAGCUAAACGGAAGACACGUUCACCCUUCUCCCUCCAAAUGCUUUGAUCAUCAUUUAUUAGCAUCUCAUAACAGUAGUUUUCCAAAGUUUGGAUUAGGACUUCUCAGGUCCUUUUGGGAGGCAAAGGAAGUUUUCUGGAAAUUCCACUACAGCCAGCUUCUCUGGGGAACUUGUUUUUAAAUCCAAAGACUUGAACCACAGUCCCGCACGUGAACAUGUUAGGUUCUUCCCUUCCCUCGUUGUCGUCUUCUCAUCUAGUACCAUUGUAGCUACCGACAUCUGCAUUUUUAGAAAAGUUUUACCCCUUUAUUUUUUGUAAACAUUUUAAAACUACUGGCAUACUGUGGAUGUAGUAAAAUAUAAAACUUGAAAAAUGCAGAUGUUGAAGGAAUCUUGUGCUUUAAUAUUUUAUGGCAGGAUUGUGCUGUAAGCAAAUGCAUCAAACAACUAUAUAAAUCACAAACAGAAACUAAAAAUGAACCAAAGUGAAAAGGAAACUUCCAGGCAGCAUCUUUCUAUUGUAACCUGUUAUUUAAGGAAAUACUACUGAUUCCUUCUGAAUAGGAUGUAAAACUUGUUCCAAAUUACUCUUCCUCAGUCCUGCCUGCCAAGAACUCAAAUGUAACUGUGAUAAUGCAACCCUCCCCAGGUAUAUUGGCAGGUAUGUGUGUGAUCUCAGAAUGCACAGGUGACAUAGAUAGGGUAUGACAGCUGGUAAUGGUGGAUUCAUUUACAUAGUUUACACUUCUAUGACCAGGCCUUAAGGGAAGGUCCGCUUUUUAAAAACCAACCAAGUAGUGUCUUCUUAAAUCUCCAAAUACAUGUCAAAAAAGGAGGGUAUUU